CACUGGUGAGAGACCUUUUUCAUGUGAAACAUGUGGAAAAAGUUUCUGUCGAAUUAGUGAUUUGAAAGUCCACAAGAAAAUUCAUACAGAUCAAAGACCUUUUUCAUGCAAAUCAUGUGGAAAAAAUUUCUCUCGAAUUAGUAAUUUAAAUAUCCACAACAGAAUUCAUACAGGUGAGAGACAAUUUUCAUGCAAGUCAUGCGGAAAAAGUUUCUCUCGAUUUAGUAAGUUAAAUGUCCACAAGAGAAUUCAUACAGGUGAGAGGCCUUUUUCUUGCGAAUCAUGCGGAAAAAGUUUCCGUGGAAUUAGUCACUUAAAUAUCCACAAGAGAAUUCAUACAGGUGAGAAAAGUUUUUCAUGCGAAUCAUGCGGAAAAAGUUUCUCACGAAAUACAGAUUUAAAUGUCCACAGGAGAAUUCAUACAGGUGAGAGGCCUUUUCCAUGCAAAGCAUGUGGAAAACGUUUCUCACGAGUGGGUAAUUUAUAUCGUCACAUGAAAACUCAUACAGGUCAGGGGCCACUUUGAAGUCAAACAAGAAAUAAUUUUAAGAAUCCGUUUUAUGUAUUAUUUGAGUCUGGAGGAUCUUUUAUUUUGAUCAGAUGUCUUUGGAAAGUUUAUUUGUGAAGGGCUCUCGUUUGGCUCGAGAGCCUUGCCAGCCCUGUUGCCACCCCAGCUAGCAAUAGUGAAUUCAAUAAAUAGUUAUGGCAAAUCGGA